CUUUGGACUGGUAUGGGGCGGGGGGAGUCAAAUAUUAAUGCUGCCGUUUGUGUGCACGCUGCAGUGGUUCUCAGAGCUGCUGGCUGGUGGGACCCGUCUACGAUGGGCCCAAACCAGAAAGCAUGAUUCAAACACUGUGCUCAGGACCAAGGAAAUGGGAUCCCUGAGGUCAGCAGCAGGCUGGGCCUGUCCCCCGCCACAGGUCAUCUGGGAAGCGGUCUCGAGAUGUUACGUGAUCCUGUCCCAAUGUGCUCCUCCUACCGGCCCAAAGCAAUGGUCCUACCAACCCCGGGCGGAAAUCUCCAGCUAACCUUUCAGUUUAUACAUUUAUUAUCUCGUUUUUCCUUAGAGGGACAUGAAGCUGACGAACAACAAAAAUGUUUUUCUCAAAAUUAAAAAGUCAUUAAAUUAUAUCCUGG
rnacentral:lncRNA from 1 species